CGCAAGCCUGACGGAGCAAUACCGCGUGAGGGAGGAAGGCCUUUGGGUUGUAAACCUCUUUUCUUAAGGAAGAAGAUCUGACGGUACUUAAGGAAUCAGCAUCGGCUAACUCCGUGCCAGUAGCCGCGGUAAUACGGAGGAUGCAAGCGUUAUCCGGAAUUAUUGGGCGUAAAGCGUCCGCAGGCGGCAUUAUAAGUCUGCUGUCAAAGACCGCAGCUCAACUGCGGAAAGGCAGUGGAAACUGUAAAGCUAGAGUACGGUAGGGGUAGAGGGAAUUCCCAGUGUAGCGGUGAAAUGCGUAGAUAUUGGGAAGAACACCAGUGGCGAAAGCGCUCUACUGGGCCGUAACUGACGCUCAGGGACGAAAGCUAGGGGAGCG
rnacentral:rRNA from 1 species